UGCAGUCGACGAUGAUCCCAGCUUGCUGGGGGAUUAGUGGCGAACGGGUGAGUAACACGUGAGUAACCUGCCCUUGACUCUGGGAUAAGCCUGGGAAACUGGGUCUAAUACCGGAUACGACCAUUCCACGCAUGUGGUGGUGGUGGAAAGCUUUUGUGGUUUUGGAUGGACUCGCGGCCUAUCAGCUUGUUGGUGGGGUAAUGGCCUACCAAGGCGACGACGGGUAGCCGGCCUGAGAGGGUGACCGGCCACACUGGGACUGAGACACGGCCCAGACUCCUACGGGAGGCAGCAGUGGGGAAUAUUGCACAAUGGGCGCAAGCCUGAUGCAGCGACGCCGCGUGAGGGAUGACGGCCUUCGGGUUGUAAACCUCUUUCAGUAGGGAAGAAGCGAAAGUGACGGUACCUGCAGAAGAAGCGCCGGCUAACUACGUGCCAGCAGCCGCGGUAAUACGUAGGGCGCAAGCGUUAUCCGGAAUUAUUGGGCGUAAAGAGCUCGUAGGCGGUUUGUCGCGUCUGCUGUGAAAGACCGGGGCUCAACUCCGGUUCUGCAGUGGGUACGGGCAGACUAGAGUGCAGUAGGGGAGACUGGAAUUCCUGGUGUAGCGGUGAAAUGCGCAGAUAUCAGGAGGAACACCGAUGGCGAAGGCAGGUCUCUGGGCUGUAACUGACGCUGAGGAGCGAAAGCAUGGGGAGCGAACAGGAUUAGAUACCCUGGUAGUCCAUGCCGUAAACGUUGGGCACUAGGUGUGGGGGACAUUCCACGUUUUCCGCGCCGUAGCUAACGCAUUAAGUGCCCCGCCUGGGGAGUACGGCCGCAAGGCUAAAACUCAAAGGAAUUGACGGGGGCCCGCACAAGCGGCGGAGCAUGCGGAUUAAUUCGAUGCAACGCGAAGAACCUUACCAAGGCUUGACAUGAACCGGAAAGACCUGGAAACAGGUGCCCCGCUUGCGGUCGGUUUACAGGUGGUGCAUGGGUUGUCGUCAGCUCGUGUCGUGA
rnacentral:rRNA from 1 species